AGCUGGAGGUAUAAUGCUAAGUGAAAUAAGUCAGAGUAAGUCAAAAACCAUGUGAUUUCCGCAUAUGUGGAAUUUAAGAAACAAAAUACAUGAG